rnacentral:rRNA from 1 species
CAUUUAGAGGAAGUAAAAGUCGUAACAAGGUCUCCGUAGGUGAACCUGCGGAGGGAUCAUUACAGAGCAUCAUGCCCUUCGGGGUAGAUCUCCCACCCUAUGUAUUACAUACUUUUGUUGCUUUGGCGGGCCGCCUCGGCCACCGGCUUCGGCUGGUGCGUGCCCGCCAGAGGACCCCAAACUCUGAAUGUUAGUGUCGUCUGAGUACUAUAUAAUAGUUAAAACUUUCAACAACGGAUCUCUUGGUUCUGGCAUCGAUGAAGAACGCAGCGAAAUGCGAUAAGUAAUGUGAAUUGCAGAAUUCAGUGAAUCAUCGAAUCUUUGAACGCACAUUGCGCCCUCUGGUAUUCCGGAGGGCAUGCCUGUUCGAGCGUCAUUACAACCCUCAAGCUCUGCUUGGCCUUGGGCAUCACCGGCAACGGUGGGCCUCAAACCCAGUGGCGGUGCCAUCUGGCUCUAAGCGUAGUAAUUCUUCUCGCUAUAGGUGCCCGGUGGAUGCUUGCCAACAACCCCCAACUUCUUAAGGUUGACCUCGGAUCAGGUAGGGAUACCCGCUGAACUUAAGCAUAUCAAUAAGCGGAGG